UCGGAAUUAUUGGGCGUAAAGGGCGCGUAGGCGGUCGUGUGCGUCGGAGGUGAAAUCCCCGGGCUUAACCCGGGAGCUGCAUUCGAGACUGCAUUGCUAGAGUAUGGGAGAGGGAAGUGGAAUUUCCGGUGUAGCGGUGAAAUGCGUAGAUAUCGGAAGGAACAUCAGUGGCGAAAGCGACUUCCUGGACCAAUACUGACGCUCAUGUGCGAAAGCGUGGGGAGCAAACAGG
rnacentral:rRNA from 1 species